CAGCAAUCCAGUGAAGUUUAACGCUUAUACACUUCUUUCCAUACUAAAAACAGAAAGGUAUAUUCUUUUAGCAUCAGGACUAAUUUAGAUGCCCACGACGCUAAGCAAAAGCCACGACUGCAGUGCUAAACAUUGGACCAUACGUACCG
rnacentral:rRNA from 1 species